rnacentral:lncRNA from 1 species
CUGCUUUGUGUGACGUGCCCUGCUCUCAGACAAGCCAAAGCAACUCCUCCCAGAUUUAAUGAAACAAUCUGCGUGCCAGUGCCAAGGUUUAGACCCACCCAUGCUCCGCUCCCUUUCAAUUUUAUCUCCCUUUCCAACCAUCAGGUGCCCACAGAGCUGCCUCAUUUUUGGGCUCGCUGCUCCCGUGUAGUCCCCCCGAGCCAGGGGGGAGACUGGGCUUUCCCUCCAGCCCCAGCAGCCAGGGUUAAAAAUGUUUUCCUGACACCUCUCACCCAGAGCCUGCAGACAAAGCAGGCCGGAGGGGCUCCAAGGAGGUAUUCAAGAGGGCUCUGAGGAUCCUGGUGGAAACACAGUGCUGAAGAUUUCCAUCCUCCCCCCCUCCCAGUGGAAAGAAGAGAACAAUAAAAAGGAGGCAGCGCACUUCAGCUGCCCCUGAAGAGCAGCAAAGCGGAGUAGCUCGGCUUUCUCACUUGUCUGUCUUCCGGCAAGGUCCUGGCCCCGGUCCUGCCAAUGUGCGAACCCUGCUGGCAGGGAGGGGAGGAGAAAAAGCCCCCAGGGGACCCUCUCACCCGUCUGGCUGGCAGGGUGAUGCUGGGGUGUGAGUGGUGCCCCUGGGUCCUCUCCGAGCCACAGCGGCGUGGAUGCACACACGCAUGGAGAAACAAACCCGCAAGCGGCACCAGGAGCGCGCCUGCACGCACAAAUGCUUCCACAGACACAUUUCUAGGGAUUUACCAAGCAGCAAGAGCAUCCGGGUGGCUGCACCCAACAGCCUGGGUUGCGUUUCUCUUCCGUGAGCUUGCCCUGCACCUACCUGAGCCUGUCUGCAGCUCUGCAAAAUCAUGUGGCGGUAAAUCCCAAAGGAUAAUCUUGCCUUUGUGGGAAAAGCCAAUUUAUUAACCUUAAUGGAGUCCAGAGAAACCUGGGCUUUCAGACUCCUGACGCAGGGAAAAGCUGAGUUUUGUGCUGCUCCCUUGCAGUUCCCUCCUCUGCAAAAUGGAUUUGAUUCUAACCCAAGAAAGGCAAAGCAGGGAAACAGAGCUGGUGUUUUCGGAUUCCUCCUCCCCUGCACCAAGCCAGUCCUGUACAUGGAACCACAGAAUUGCCAGUAUAGAAACAGAAAGGAGGCCAGGAUAAUGGAAUAAAUUCCCCAAACUCAUACCCC